AACGCACGAGACCUGCGGACCUGCGGAGGGAUCAUUACAGAGUUAUCACAACUCCCAAACCCAUGUGAACCUUUACCAUUUGUUGCCUCGGCGGCGCCCGCCCCCCCGUUCCGCGGGGAAGGCGAUGCCCGCCGGCGGACCAAAACAACUCUUUGCUGUAUCGUGGCACUCUGAGUAUACAAAAACAUAAUAGUUAAAACUUUCAGCAACGGAUCUCU
rnacentral:misc_RNA from 1 species